rnacentral:rRNA from 3 species
AGACCCGAAACCCGGUGAUCUAGCCAUGGGCAGGUUGAAGGUUGGGUAACACUAACUGGAGGACCGAACCGACUAAUGUUGAAAAAUUAGCGGAUGACCUGUGGCUGGGGGUGAAAGGCCAAUCAAACCGGGAGAUAGCUGGUUCUCCCCGAAAGCUAUUUAGGUAGCGCCUCGUGAACUCAUCUCCGGGGGUAGAGCACUGUUUCGGCUAGGGGGCCAUCCCGGCUUACCAACCCGAUGCAAACUGCGAAUACCGGAGAAUGUUAUCACGGGAGACACACGGCGGGUGCUAACGUCCGUCGUGAAGAGGGAAACAACCCAGACCGCCAGCUAAGGUCCCAAAGUCAUGGUUAAGUGGGAAACGAUGUGGGAAGGCCCAGACAGCCAGGAUGUUGGCUUAGAAGCAGCCAUCAUUUAAAGAAAGCGUAAUAGCUCACUGGUCGAGUCGGCCUGCGCGGAAGAUGUAACGGGGCUAAACCAUGCACCGAAGCUGCGGCAGCGACACUUUAGUGUUGUUGGGUAGGGGAGCGUUCUGUAAGCCGUUGAAGGUGUGUCGUGAGGCAUGCUGGAGGUAUCAGAAGUGCGAAUGCUGACAUAAGUAACGAUAAAGCGGGUGAAAAGCCCGCUCGCCGGAAGACCAAGGGUUCCUGUCCAACGUUAAUCGGGGCAGGGUGAGUCGACCCCUAAGGCGAGGCCGAAAGGCGUAGUCGAUGGGAAACGGGUUAAUAUUCCCGUACUUGGUGUUACUGCGAAGGGGGGACGGAGAAGGCUAUGUUGGCCGGGCGACGGUAGUCCCGGUUUAAGCGUGUAGGCUGGUUUUCCAGGCAAAUCCGGAAAAUCAAGGCUGAGGCGUGAUGACGAGGCACCACGGUGCUGAAGCAACAAAUGCCCUGCUUCCAGGAAAAGCCUCUAAGCAUCAGGUAACAUCAAAUCGUACCCCAAACCGACACAGGUGGUCAGGUAGAGAAUACCAAGGCGCUUGAGAGAACUCGGGUGAAGGAACUAGGCAAAAUGGUGCCGUAACUUCGGGAGAAGGCACGCUGACACGUAGGUGAAGUGAUUUACUCACGGAGCUGAAGUCAGUCGAAGAUACCAGCUGGCUGCAACUGUUUAUUAAAAACACAGCACUGUGCAAACACGAAAGUGGACGUAUACGGUGUGACGCCUGCCCGGUGCCGGAAGGUUAAUUGAUGGGGUCAGCGCAAGCGAAGCUCCUGAUCGAAGCCCCGGUAAACGGCGGCCGUAACUAUAACGGUCCUAAGGUAGCGAAAUUCCUUGUCGGGUAAGUUCCGACCUGCACGAAUGGCGUAAUGAUGGCCAGGCUGUCUCCACCCGAGACUCAGUGAAAUUGAACUCGCUGUGAAGAUGCAGUGUACCCGCGGCAAGACGGAAAGACCCCGUGAACCUUUACUAUAGCUUGACACUGAACAUUGAGCCUUGAUGUGUAGGAUAGGUGGGAGGCUUUGAAGCGUGGACGCCAGUCUGCGUGGAGCCGACCUUGAAAUACCACCCUUUAAUGUUUGAUGUUCUAACGUGGACCCGUAAUCCGGGUUGCGGACAGUGUCUGGUGGGUAGUUUGACUGGGGCGGUCUCCUCCUAAAGAGUAACGGAGGAGCACGAAGGUUGGCUAAUCCUGGUCGGACAUCAGGAGGUUAGUGCAAUGGCAUAAGCCAGCUUGACUGCGAGCGUGACGGCGCGAGCAGGUGCGAAAGCAGGUCAUAGUGAUCCGGUGGUUCUGAAUGGAAGGGCCAUCGCUCAACGGAUAAAAGGUACUCCGGGGAUAACAGGCUGAUACCGCCCAAGAGUUCAUAUCGACGGCGGUGUUUGGCACCUCGAUGUCGGCUCAUCACAUCCUGGGGCUGAAGUAGGUCCCAAGGGUAUGGCUGUUCGCCAUUUAAAGUGGUACGCGAGCUGGGUUUAGAACGUCGUGAGACAGUUCGGUCCCUAUCUGCCGUGGGCGCUGGAAGAUUGAGGGGGGCUGCUCCUAGUACGAGAGGACCGGAGUGGACGCAUCACUGGUGUUCGGGUUGUCAUGCCAAUGGCACUGCCCGGUAGCUAAAUGCGGAAAAGAUAAGUGCUGAAAGCAUCUAAGCACGAAACUUGCCCCGAGAUGAGUCUUCCCUGAGACUUUGAGUCUCCUGAAGGAACGUUAAAGACGAUGACGUUGAUAGGCCGGGUGUGUAAGCGCAGCGAUGCGUUGAGCUAACCGGUACUAAUGAACCGUGAGGCUUAACCUUACAACGCCGAAG